rnacentral:lncRNA from 1 species
AAUAGAUAUUUUACAAAUAUUAAUGAUUGAUACUAGUAAUGCCCUCUCUGUAAUAGCCUCUCAAGUAAACCAUAGUUCUGUUCUCUAGCCAUUUCAAAUUACAGUAUUCUUUUUUUUAAGGACACAUUUAGUUUUGUACAUUUCAGCUUCAUAUUGUACUGGUUGUUAAUGAAAUUUUAUUUAUACUCUUAUAAAACCCGGUUCUGGACUAAAGAAAUAUUUUAGAAUUUAAAUUAUAUCCCAUAUUGAUUAUUUAAUUAUUUUAUAACGAAUAAUGAUUAAUUGGGCAUGUACAAUUAUUGUGUAUGUUGUACUGUUCAUAGUACAAUAUCUGAUUUUGGCUUGACCAUACCAGAUAUGCUGGUUGAUUUUACUCGGACUGACCUAUCUAAUUUUUGUCUCUUUUUAUCUAAUGUAAAUAUUAGUUUUCUUGGAAGAUAGCAAGAAGUUGCUGGUCUAGGCAAAAUCGAAAUUGAUUGUCAUAGUGACACAUAUUUUCAUUGCCAACUUCCUUGGGCCACAAAUUUUGUUAUUUAUUUUUUAUAAAAGGUUUUAUGGUACUUAUAAAAAAAGUUAAGUUAUUUUGUUAUAUAUUUCGAUUGGCAAUACACUUUGUGCGUGAUUGCUUAAAUACGGGUUUGACCUCUGCGGUCGUUCCUUUUCCCAGACCGCCGUCAUGAAGUGAAGAGUGCUUUAGUUCUUUUUGAAAUUCGUGUGAAUUUUACCCAUAUGGGGAUAUAAUUGACUAAAUGUGGUGAUAGUAAAUCAACUUUUUGGGCGUAAUGCUAUAAUUUGUUGUUUUGUUGAAUUUAUUGGCCUUUAUGGCGAUUUAAAACCUAAUAAUUUUUCACGUGCCCUCGAACAUCGGCAAAAUAGCGGUUCUGAUUGGCAUUGGCAGGGGACAAUUUAAUUAGCAAAGCUACAUAACAUGGAUUUUGGACGGAUUUUUUUUGUACGGACCUGAUUUCUUCAUGCCACAUGGUGCUUCGUUUUGGGGUUAUGUACUCUACUGGCUCUAAUCUAGAAGGAGAUUUUAAGCAACUGUGAGCUAACGUCUAACCUAGACCACUACCAGAGCUUGGCGUAUUGUGAAGUGGAAGAGGUGAAGCUUGGAAGCCUGCAGUUUUUCUUUGACUGGGAAUUGGAUUUCUGGGAGAAUCUCGAAUCUGAAGUAGUCUGCUGUGUGUGGAACUAGGUGACACAACAUAACAUUUUUUUUUAUUCACUUAUUUUAUUUUUAUUAUCACAGCUUUUAUCUUUUGAGUUGAGAUACAUACAUAAGCUUAUUUAAAAUUUUAUUGACAUUAUUUAAUCGAUGCUAUUCUAUGAUUGAAUAUUACUGAUAAGAGUACAUAUAUAUGUGACAAGUGACUCCUGUGAGGUAAGACGCAGCCGGCUUCGUAGUACUACGAGUAUAUACUUGGGUUAUAUUAUUUAUUUUCAGACUACUCCUAAGAUGUCAAAUUUUCUCAGAUUAGCUAGUAAAUAUUAGAGUAAACUAAUAAAAGGGUAAUUUUAAGUGGGGAAGCUUCAACAGUUAGGGUUGUUAUUUUUUUUUUUUGCUUAGGUCAAUGUCCGUGGCGGGAUAUACCGGGCCAUGUAAGUUAUUAGUUUAAUUGAAUUGAAGCUUCAUUCCCCAAAAGGUUUGGGUGUAACAUAAUUUAUUUUAUUUUGACAACCACACUUUGAUUGUGUAUUUUUUGUGUGAUGUUGUGGUUCCUUAUUACCAACUUAAAUAAUUAUUCCUCUUAACGAUAAAUAACAUAACAUAAUUCUCUGUGAUAAUCAAGACUUAAAUAAAUUGUUAUUUUCUGUUGUUAA